rnacentral:rRNA from 1 species
GGCGAGUGGCGAACGGGUGAGUAAUACAUCGGAACGUGUCCUGGAGUGGGGGAUAGCCCGGCGAAAGCCGGAUUAAUACCGCAUACGCUCUGUGGAGGAAAGCGGGGGAUCUUUCGGGACCUCGCGCUCAAGGGGCGGCCGAUGGCAGAUUAGGUAGUUGGUGGGGUAAAGGCCUACCAAGCCGACGAUCUGUAGCUGGUCUGAGAGGACGACCAGCCACACUGGGACUGAGACACGGCCCAGACUCCUACGGGAGGCAGCAGUGGGGAAUUUUGGACAAUGGGCGCAAGCCUGAUCCAGCAAUGCCGCGUGUGUGAAGAAGGCCUUCGGGUUGUAAAGCACUUUUGUCCGGAAAGAAAACCUCUGGGUUAAUACCCCGGGGGGAUGACGGUACCGGAAGAAUAAGCACCGGCUAACUACGUGCCAGCAGCCGCGGUAAUACGUAGGGUGCGAGCGUUAAUCGGAAUUACUGGGCGUAAAGCGUGCGCAGGCGGUGAUGUAAGACCGAUGUGAAAUCCCCGGGCUUAACCUGGGAACUGCAUUGGUGACUGCAUCGCUCGAGUAUGGCAGAGGGGGGUAGAAUCCACGUGUAGCAGUGAAAUGCGUAGAGAUGUGGAGGAAUACCGAUGGCGAAGGCAG